rnacentral:ncRNA from 1 species
UAACACCCGUGGAAUGGCGUUUCCACUCGUACAAACCGCCAGCUCCAGCUGACUGAUGACGCCUGAUUGAAA